ACAAAAUAAUAACCAAAGAAAUUAAUUAAAAAAAUUAAAAAGAAAAUUGUAUGCAAAACAGAUAAACGCUUGAGUGGGAGAAUGACACUGAACCAAUCCUCUAGCUAGUGUUUAACUAGGUAUCACAGGCAAACCCGGUCGCUUAAGGACCAGAGGAAACGUGUGGCUUUGAUGUGAACAUUAUGACUGGUAAACACAUGACAAAAUGUAUU